AUGCUCACCUCCCUCUCCUGGAUCUGCUGGGUCUUCCCCCACUCCGUGCUUGCACAUCAGCUCGGCUCAGGCCUCCACGGGCUCGGCAUUGGCGCGAUCGGCCUCGACUGGGCGUCCAUCUCCUCCUACCUUGGGAGCCCUCUCGUCAGCCCCUGGUUCGCUACCGUGAAUGUCGCCGCAGGCUUCUUCAUCAUCAUGUACGUAAUCACCCCUAUCGGGUACUGGUUUAACUUCUACAAGGCACGGACCUUCUCUAUCUUCUCUGCCGAUCUCUUCACCUCGACCGGGCAGAAGUACAACAUCUCAGCCAUCGUGGACGACCAUUUCCAUUUCGACACGGAGGCCUACGAGAGAAAUGGGCCACUAUAUCUCAGCACUCUAUUGGCAAUCACAUACGGUGUCAGCUUCGCAUCGCUUACUGCGACGAUCGUUCAUGUUCUCUUGUUCCACGGAAGGUAA
rnacentral:rRNA from 1 species